rnacentral:rRNA from 1 species
ACACCGGCAGCCCAAGUGGUGGCCAUUUUUAUUGGGCCUAAAGCGUUCGUAGCCGGCCUGAUAAGUCUCUGGUGAAAUCCCACAGCUUAACUGUGGGAAUUGCUGGAGAUACUAUCAUGACUCGAGGUCGGGAGAGGCUGGAGGUACUCCCAGGGUAGGGGUGAAAUCCUGUAAUCCUGGGAGGACCACCUGUGGCGAAGGCGUCCAGCUGGAACGAACCUGACGGUGAGGGACGAAAGCCGGGGGCGCGAACCGGAUUAGAUACCCGGGUAGUCCUGGCCGUAAACGAUGUGGACUUGGUGUUGGGAUGGCUUCGAGCUGCCCCAGUGCCGAAGGGAAGCUGUUAAGUCCACCGCCUGGGAAGUACGGCCGCAAGGCUGAAACUUAAAUGAAUUGGCGGGG